CCCUAUGGGGUGCAGCCUUGCCUGAGCCUGCGCGCACCGGAAUGGACAACGGCGCUGACUCCGCCAAAGCACAGCACCAAUGCGGGAGAUGCGCCGCCCGAAUCCCCCUGCCCCACAGACGCAGGGUCCAGGGCGGUGAGCCUGGUCGAUGCCCUGCAUCGGUUCCGGGAGCUACCGAGCUUGCGUGCCAACAAUGCGGAAUAUUUGAGCCGUUGUGCCCGUUGCUUCCUCAAAGGACUGUGCGAGCAGUGCCCGGCCAGGUCCUGGGCGGAGCACGGCACUCUGGAUACUCCCGUCUCCCACCUGUGCGAGAUGGCCCACGCACAGGCACGUUACUUGAGCUGGCUGGGAAAGGACGAGCUGGGAUGGGAGGUGGAGAAUUGGCGGGAGAGC
rnacentral:rRNA from 1 species